GCAUUUCUAUACAAAUUUACAGAACUAUAAGGAAUUUACAACGAGGUCCUACACUUUGGUGGUGGGGCGAAAGCUAGGAAGAUGGCCCGAGUGGUUUCCUUCGUACUUUUACGGCCUGGGGGCGAAAAACAAGUUUAAAAAUUGUGAGUGGACAAAAAUAAGGUUCUUAAAAACAAUUUAGAACAUAAUAACCCCCAUUUGAAAUACAUAGGGAUAGAAAAGCUAUGAUUCGAUCAUAAUCAAACUCGAGACAUUCAGAUAAACAUAAAUAAAUAUAAUUGUAUAAAUGCUCACAUAACUGAACAAAGAUAUAUCGGUAUAACACAUGUAUGAGUAUCGAAGGUACUGAUAUAAAUGAGUGAAACAAUAACUGCAUUGCAAAGCUUAAAACAUCCUUUAAAACUGCCACCUAAUUGUACCCCUGUAAUAACCGUCAAUUCCCUGGCAGGUCUCGGGCGUCACGCAGGCUACCCGAGCCGCAAACUGGCGAAAUCAGGGGACUAUGAUCAGCCUGAUCUGCCGGCAGAUUCCUCGAUGACACCAAGUCAGCUCGAGUCGCUCUGGCAGGAUGCAGGGGACCGUAGUCAGCCUGAUCCGCAAUCCUGGCAGGUAUCGGGGACACAGAGUCAGCCGAGCCGCAAUCCUGGCAGGUCUCGGGACACCAAGUCUGCCGAGCCGCAAAUCCUGGCACUCACGGUUCGAGCGUCCCCGUAACUCGUGAGGCAAAGUUAAGUGCACUGACAUAAACUGAAAUCGGACUGGAUGUCCAUAGACAUCGGUCCAACUCUGGGUAAUCACCAAAUAGAGGGUGGGUACAUGGUGGUCUAAAAUAACUAUCUCUGAUAAAAUCUGAUAUCCUCUGUACUCGGGUAAAUCUGAGCUAAAUUACUAUUUUCUGUAUCAAGAAUCUCAAAUCUGUUUAUUCGGCUAAUUUUUUAUAAAAACAUAAAGAUAUUUUACAAUAAAAUUCAUGCUAUAACACUUAUUCAAAAUCAAAUAGAAAAUAUAAUCAUAAAACCGUUUAAGAAAGAAAAGUCCACUCACUGUUGGUCCGAGCUAGCUGGACCCUUCGAAGGUCCCUCCUGCGGUUCGGUCGGACCCCUGGUGCCUUACUCGAUUGAUUUGGUGGAGAAUUGAGGGAGAACAAAGGAGAUGAAGU
rnacentral:lncRNA from 1 species